UCUUGAAAAAAAUUCGAUUUUGCCUGGAGUUCAAUCGGGUUUUCGUCCGGGAUACAGCUCCACUGGUGCAUAGACAAACUAAAAAAAUAGAUGAGCCACUCGUAUAUUCCGCGCCAUCUGUCGGAGGAGGACACUAAUACACGAAAAAAUUAUUUUCAAUUUGAUAGUUAGAUGUCGUUGCAUUCAUGGAGAUCACUCGUGAAUAGUGGCUCCCAUACACGUUACGGUCUAUUGGGAGGAAAGUCUCCAGGUUUAUAUGCAGCUUGUGUGGGGAGAUGUAUGAAAAUAGUAAGUAUAAUGUAUAAUCAUUAUUAUCAAAAAACCUUUGAAAUGUCAACUGACACAAGGAGUUGUUUGACACGUUCUUUUUGAAAUAUAAUAAAUUUCGAUAUGCCUGCAAGAGUGAAGACGUGCUGUGUUAUUGGAUGUGAAAAUCGAGAUGCAAGAAGAUAUGCCAUCACUACCGAUGAGAAAAUUCGAAAAGUGUUGCUUGAGCGCAUCGGCAAUAGGAAACUUUUGGAAUUGGAGAAAUAUCAAAUUAAGCAUGUUAGAAUAUGCCAGUGCCAUUUUCAUAGUGAUUGUUUGGAAAGCAAUGGAAAGCUGAAAAAAGGUUCUUUGCCCUCAAUUGAUUUGCCAGGUAAUUAACUGAAGGAGCUUUAUAGUAGGUAUAAAUACUCAUAUUUUGUAUUAUUGAAUUCAUUAUUUUUAGUUUUUGAGAAUGUUUUCAAUGCAAUUAUUAGUUUAUUGAUUAGAUAUUUAUGAAAUAAAUCUGUAUUUUUAAUUGGUGAUAUUUCAGUUAAUAAAUUUUUAUUCUAUCCAGAA